AAAUUGAAGAGUUUGAUCAUGGCUCAGAUUGAACGCUGGCGGCAGGCCUAACACAUGCAAGUCGAACGGUAACAGGAAGCAGCUUGCUGCUUUGUUGACGAGUGGCGGACGGGUGAGUAAUGUCUGGGAAACUGCCUGAUGGAGGGGGAUAACUACUGGAAACGGUGGCUAAUACCGCAUAACGUCGCAAGACCAAAGAGGGGGACCUUCGGGCCUCUUGCCAUCAGAUGUGCCCAGAUGGGAUUAGCUUGUUGGUGAGGUAACGGCUCACCAAGGCGACGAUCCCUAGCUGGUCUGAGAGGAUGACCAGCCACACUGGAACUGAGACACGGUCCAGACUCCUACGGGAGGCAGCAGUGGGGAAUAUUGCACAAUGGGCGCAAGCCUGAUGCAGCCAUGCCGCGUGUAUGAAGAAGGCCUUCGGGUUGUAAAGUACUUUCAGCGGGGAGGAAGGUGUUGUGGUUAAUAACCGCAGCAAUUGACGUUACCCGCAGAAGAAGCACCGGCUAACUCCGUGCCAGCAGCCGCGGUAAUACGGAGGGUGCAAGCGUUAAUCGGAAUUACUGGGCGUAAAGCGCACGCAGGCGGUCUGUCAAGUCGGAUGUGAAAUCCCCGGGCUCAACCUGGGAACUGCAUUCGAAACUGGCAGGCUUGAGUCUUGUAGAGGGGGGUAGAAUUCCAGGUGUAGCGGUGAAAUGCGUAGAGAUCUGGAGGAAUACCGGUGGCGAAGGCGGCCCCCUGGACAAAGACUGACGCUCAGGUGCGAAAGCGUGGGGAGCAAACAGGAUUAGAUACCCUGGUAGUCCACGCCGUAAACGAUGUCUACUUGGAGGUUGUGCCCUUGAGGCGUGGCUUCCGGAGCUAACGCGUUAAGUAGACCGCCUGGGGAGUACGGCCGCAAGGUUAAAACUCAAAUGAAUUGACGGGGGCCCGCACAAGCGGUGGAGCAUGUGGUUUAAUUCGAUGCAACGCGAAGAACCUUACCUGGUCUUGACAUCCACGGAAGUUUUCAGAGAUGAGAAUGUGCCUUCGGGAACCGUGAGACAGGUGCUGCAUGGCUGUCGUCAGCUCGUGUUGUGAAAUGUUGGGUUAAGUCCCGCAACGAGCG
rnacentral:rRNA from 1 species